rnacentral:rRNA from 1 species
UACGUAGGGGGCAAGCGUUGUCCGGAUUUAUUGGGCGUAAAGAGCGUGUAGGCGGUUUGGUAGGUCCGCUGUGAAAACUCGAGGCUCAACCUCGAGACGCCGGUGGAAACCAUCAGACUAGAGUCCGGAAGAGGAGAGUGGAAUUCCUGGUGUAGCGGUGAAAUGCGCAGAUAUCAUUUGGAACGCCAAUGGUGAAAACAGGUAGCUGGGGCUGUGCUGACGCUGAGACACGAAAGCCAGGGGAGCAAACGGG